CCUACGGGUGGCUGCAGUGGGGAAUUUUGGACAAUGGGGGCAACCCUGAUCCAGCCAUUCCGCGUGAGUGAAGAAGGCCUUCGGGUUGUAAAGCUCUUUCGCAAGGGAAGAAAACUUACUCAAUAACACUGGGUGAGGCUGACGGUACCUUGAUAAGAAGCACCGGCUAACUACGUGCCAGCAGCCGCGGUAAUACUUAUGGUGCGAGCGUUAAUCGGAAUUACUGGGCGCAAUGCGUGAGCAGACGGUUGAAAUCCCCGGGCUCAACCUGGGAACUGCGUUUGAAACUACAAGGCUAGAGGAUGGCAGAGGGGGGUAGAAUUCCACGUGUAGCAGUGAAAUGCGUAGAGAUGUGGAGGAAUACCAAUGGCGAAGGCAGCCCCCUGGGUCAAUACUGACGCUCAUGCACGAAAGCGUGGGGAGCAAACAGGAUUAGAUACCCGGGUAGUC
rnacentral:rRNA from 1 species